rnacentral:tRNA from 1 species
GUUACUUUGGCAGAUAAUUGUAAUGAAUUUAGAAUUCAUAAAUAUAAAAUUAAUUUUUAUAAGUAAUA